GGUCUGAUGGUCUAGUGGUAGGAUUCUCGCUUUGGGUUGAGCACUGUCUGACUUUAAUGCGAGAGGUCCCGGGUUCAAUCCCCGGUCAGACCC